CCAAUUUUAUAUACUAGUGUGUAUAUCUGUGACUCUGUUACAGGUACUACACUACUACUAUUAUGUAAACGUUGAACUAGAUCAAUUGGUGUGGAUUGCUUGGGAAUGGACGAAGCGACAAGCCUCUUCCGGACAGGCAAACCCCACACUGAUAACCCUUUUCAAUAUAAUUUACUAGUACAUACUACAAACAAACAAAAGCUAUAAUAGGACUUAUAAACAGGCUGAGUGGGUAAAAUCCUCGGCUUAACCAAUAUAACUAUUA
rnacentral:misc_RNA from 1 species